UACGUAGGUGGCAAGCGUUAUCCGGAAUUAUUGGGCGUAAAGCGCGCGCAGGCGGUUUCUUAAGUCUGAUGUGAAAGCCCAGGGCUCAACCUUGGAACUGCCUUUGAUACUGGGCAUCUUGAGUAUGGGAGAGGUGAGUGGAACUCCGAGUGUAGAGGUGAAAUUCGUAGAUAUUCGGAAGAACACCAGUGGCGAAGGCGACUCACUGGCCCAUUACUGACGCUGAGGCGCGAAAGCGUGGGGAGCAAACAGG
rnacentral:rRNA from 1 species